rnacentral:tRNA from 1 species
CGUAGCCAAGCGGUUGAAGGCACUGGGCUCAUAAUCCAUUUUCGUAAGAACAACGCUGGUUCGAAUCCAGCCGGA